UGGAUCUGGGGACAGUCUGUACUCAUCUUGACAGACAAUACCACAGCCCGCUCAUACCUAAACCGUCAAGGUGGGACGGUCUCUUGCAAGUUAUUGUUUCUGCUACUUGAGAUCUGGGCGUGGUGCACACACAGAGGUAUCUGGCCAACAGCGGUGCACAUAGAAGGAGUCUCGAACACCCUGGCGAAUGCUCUUAGCCGACAGACGGGAAACUCUCAUGAGUGGUCUCUAGAGAGGAAUGUGUUGAAAGGCUUGUUCCAUGGCUGGGGGACUCCGUCGGUGGAUCUAUUCGCCUCGGAGAGCAACAGGAAGUGCGUCCAGUAUUGCAGCAGGGGUGGGAUAGGCCGGCGAUCCCUGGGCGAUGUGUUCCUUCACCACUGGGGAAGAGACUUUGUGUACGCAUUCCCGCCGUUCCCUUUAAUUCCAAGGGUACUUGAGAAACUGAAAAGUGACAGAGCAGAUGCGAUUCUGGUGGCGCCUUGGUGGCCGCGGCAACCCUGGUUCACUUCCCUCCUGCAACUGGCCAACCACACCUUUGUGCACCUGCUGGUAUACCUGGAACUGUUGACAUUGGAGGGGGCCCGCAGGAUCCAUCUGAACGUAGACUCCCUCCAUCUGACGGCUUGGAGGAUCUGACGCUCCCCUCCGUCUCAGACUCUGUACUUAAAGUCCUGGAAGCAGCACGGAAGCCAUCUGCAUGACGCUGCUAUCCUGUCCAGUGGAAGAAGCGAGUUUCAUCCUGGGUAGCAGAGACUGUACGUCUAGCCUACCAGCUGGCUAAGAAACAAUUGCCGAGCCCUAUUCGGGCCCAUUCCACGAGGGCAGUGGCGUCAUCGGAAGCCUUUUGGCGGGGUAUUGCAUUGGAGGAGAUUUGCAGGGCAGCUACCUGGGCUAACCCGUCUACCUUCAUACAACACUAUGUGCUGGAUCUCCGUUCCAGAGAUCAGGCGUGCUUGGGGAUGGCAGUACUUCACUCAGUCUCUCAUUAGGCUGCUCCCACCAGCCAGGUAAGCUAGCUCGCUAUGAUCUCAAGUGUGAUGCACAGAGACCACGAAGAGGAAGGGCAGGUUUCCUACUUGUAACCGUAGUUCUUCGUGUGGUCUUCUGUGCAUUCACACUCCCGCCCUACCUCCCCACAGCAGCUGGUCUCUUUUGUUGAGCGGUGGUCUCCUUGACUGAGGUAGUGUGGGGUUCAACCUACAGAGAGAGUGCGUCUUCCCACUCUUUUUUCCUUUUUGGGGGUGAAGCUUUGGAAGGUUCCAGAACGUGGCUCUGCGCAGGCGCCAAACCCAAGUGUGAACGCACAGAAGACCACUUGAAGAACUACGGUUACAGGUAGGAAACCUGCCCUUUCCUUGAUGCCCCUUUUCAUUCCUCAUUUCAUUCCGCAUUUCAUUCCAGCCCCUUUUCAUUCCUCAUUUGUGUGUUUGUGUGUGUGUGCAUUUCUUUUAGGUGGCAUAUCUGAGCUGAGUAAGGUAAGCAGAGGCAGAGGCGCUUUUACUCCUGGAUUUUGUGGAUGCAGCCCCUGGUGUCCAUACUCCUUGGGGGCUCCCAAAUAAUCUUUAGUCUGUCCUGGGUGGUGUGGUUUGUGCCCUCAAUAACGUAUGUGUUAAAAAUGUUUAAUUUGCAGGGGGGGGGGCCUCCAAAGGCUUUUAGGUCCAGGCUCCAAAAUUAUCUAGGUGCACCUCUGAGCAGAGGCAAUCUUGCCAGCAGCUCUUUCUCUUGGGGGGUUGUAAUUUUUAUCCCCCAGUUAAUUAGCAGAGCACUAAAGAAGCUACCCAUUCCAGUUACAGAGUAGUUGCAGAGUUUAGUUGUUGCAGCUAUUUAGAGAAGACACAUGGAGAUUCUUGUAGUAUAAAUACAAAGUAUUUAUUGGUGAAGUACACCUUUGGAUAGGAAAGACCUAACCCUAAUCUAUAGAACAACAUAAUGAAUAGGUGGGGGAGAGAGAGAGAUGUUUCCAUCUGCUCUCUAAGAGGAAAGGAAAGGAUUCUUUCUGACUCUCAACAGGAAAUACCUGAAGAGUCCUAUCAGGGGUUAUAGAGUAGAGACCUAUAGAACAGCUAGGGAGACCCUUACUCACUAUCUCUACCCCCAAUGCCCCUAGUGGUCAUAAGGAUAGUUGGUGCAAAAGGUUGAUGCACUGGUAGUCCAUCUCCAACACUUUCCCGGGCUAUGCAAUGUAGUCCUCUACAUUCCUCAUUUGUGUGUUUGUUUGUUAUAGUUGGCAAAUCUCAGCUGCGUAAGGUAAGGAGAGGCAAUUUUGCCAUCUGGUCUUCCUAGUGCUAUGCAAUGUUUUCCUUUUCAUUCCUCAUUUGUGUGUGAGUGUGUUUGUUUCUUUUAGGUGGCAAAUCCCAGAUGGGUAAGGUAAGCAGAGGCAAUUUUGCCAUCCUGUCUUCCUAGUGCUAAUCAUUGUGUUCCUCUACAUUCCUUGUGUGUGUGUUUGUGUGUGUUUGUUUUAGGUUGUGAAUCCCAGCUGGUUAAGGUAAGCAGAGGGAAUUGCCAUCAGGUCUUCCCAGUGCUAUGCAAUGUGUUCCUUUUCAUUCCUUGUUGUUGUUUUGUGUUGUGUGUGUUUCUUUUAGGUGGCAAAUCCGAGCUGGAUAAGGUGUCAAAUCCCAGCUGGGUAAGGUAAGCAGAUGCAGUUGCCAUCAGGUCUUGCCUGUGCUAUGCAGUGUGUUCCUUUUCAUUGGGGUGUUGUUGGGCCUCGUGGGGUGCAAGGUCUCCAUCUGAUUGAUUCUACCCUUGUUUAGGGGUGCCAGUCGGUCUGGCCUCAUAACUCCUGAGGUCUUGUCAAUGUCCUAGGCUAAUGCCUCCACAGGCAUUCCUUUGCCUCUGUCACCUGCCGGAGACUUGACUUCCCAGAGCUGUCUGCCUCUUGACAGCUCUCAGCCGUCUGCCCCUCAUCACGGGCCAGGCCAUUUUAUAUAACCCUGAAAUCUCACAGCAACUCUCGUGAGACCUGGCGAUCUCACUAGUGAUCUCACGAGAGUUUGGAGUGUGAUCUUGCAAUAUGCUAACAACGUCCCAUUAGACCACGUCAGUGUCGGGUGACACUAGGUCACCCGACCACGGGAGCCAGUAGGGCCUGCCGGUCUCAGCAGGUGGGGGUUGGGACCCAUCUGAGGGCGCAGCGUUCCCGCCCUGGUUGGGAACGUUCCUGCCCUGGUUGGGAACGUUCCCACCGGAACCCUUUGGACACGGGAGGUGGGGCCUAGAGAUGUUGGGAUCCUGACAGGUGUGUACGAAUGGUUCAAUAGCAAACUGGUCUGCUGUGAACCAGGCUGGUUCGAUGGUUUGAUCGUGAACCAGACAGACCUUCCGGAAAGGUGGUACAGUCCAAGAUCAAUCCAAAUCAGCCCUGACCAGGAGGACAUGGCUCCCAUGUAGCUGUCCUCUGUGAGAAGCGGCUACAUGCAUGGGAUGGCCAAUGGGGUCAGUGUGGCGCUGCUGCUACUUAUGCGGCACACAUUCUUCCCUCCUCCAACUUUGCAGGCUUUGCGGCUCCCGCCCAUCCUCCCUAGUUCAGUGAGAGAUUAGCUGGUCGCUUAUGGGCCGAGUAGGAAUUUUUGGUCUUCACCUGAUUGGCUUUGUGUGGAGAUUUUUUCGCCUACUCCUCACUGACUGUAUUUUAAAGGGAAUAACCCCCUUUUUAGGGGUGGGAGUCUGGUUGCAGGUUAAGUGGUCACUUUGGCAGGUGAGUGUGGGCUUUGGAGGUUAAGACCUUGAUUGAUGCUCAGCCAUAGGACCUUUCAGAUAGAGAUGGUUUCAUGGAACAUCCUUUCAGGGUUUUGUGUCCCAGGAGUGUCUGGGAAUGAACCACUUUUAGGGCACUGUUCAGCUGACCCACUCAGAGCUUUGGGGCUGGAGGGGUGCUGACCAGUGUUUCCUCUAACAGGGAUUCCCAGAUGUUGACUACAACUCCCAGAAUCCCAAGCUACAAUAGCUUUUGCUUUGGGAUUAUGGGAGUUGUAGUCCACAACAUCUGGGGAUCUAUGUUGGAGGGAACAGUGGUGUUGACCCUGGUGGCUACCUCCUUGACACAGUAAACUGUGUGGCUUGGUGGGGCUAUGCUGAGGUUUCAUAUGGCAUCUGCCAAGCCUGGCUGCUUUGCCCAAUAGUGAGAGGAGCUCAGCCCUCGCUAGGACUCUGUGCCUACCUGUUAAGGGGAUUGGAGUUGCCCACACUCUAGUUUAUGGAGGUUAUAGUUAUACCUGUUGCAGAUCUCUGCAUAGUUUAUAGUUAAUAAAGUGGCCCUAGUUUUCAUCCAUA